rnacentral:rRNA from 1 species
CAGCAGCCACGGGAAUACGAAGGGUGCAAGCGUUACUCGGAAUUACUGGGCGUAAAGCGUGCGUAGGUGGUGGUUUAAGUCCGUUGUGAAAGCCCUGGGCUCAACCUGGGAUUUGCAGUGGAUACUGGGUCACUAGAGUGUGGUAGAGGAUAGUGGAAUUUCCGGUGUAGCAGUGAAAUGCGUAGAGAUCGGAAGGAACAUCUGUGGCGAAGGCGACUAUCUGGGCCAACACUGACACUGAGGCACGAAAGCGUGGGGAGCAAACAGGAUUAGAUACCCCAGUAGUCCCUGUCUCUUAUAC